rnacentral:rRNA from 1 species
CCUACGGGAGACAGCAGUAGGGAAUCUUCCACAAUGGGCGAAAGCCUGAUGGAGCAACGCCGCGUGGGUGAAGAAGGUCUUCGGAUCGUAAAACCCUGUUGUUAGAGAAGAAAGUGCGUGAGAGUAACUGUUCACGUUUCGACGGUAUCUAACCAGAAAGCCACGGCUAACUACGUGCCCGCAGCCGCGGUAAUACGUAGGUGGCAAGCGUUAUCCGGAUUUAUUGGGCGUAAAGGGAACGCAGGCGGUCUUUUAAGUCUGAUGUGAAAGCCUUCGGCUUAACCGGAGUAGUGCAUUGGAAACUGGGAGACUUGAGUGCAGAAGAGGAGAGUGGAACUCCAUGUGUAGCGGUGAAAUGCGUAGAUAUAUGGAAGAACACCAGUGGCGAAGGCGGCUCUCUGGUCUGUAACUGACGCUGAGGUUCGAAAGCGUGGGUAGCAAACAGGAUUAGAUACCCGAGUAGUC